UUUAUAUUCCCUCCGUUCUAAAAUUUUUGUCUUAAGUUUGUUUAGAAAUGAAUGUAUCAAAAUACUAAAACGUGACUAGAUACAUUCAUAUCUAGAUAAAUUUAAGACAAGAAUUUUAGAACGAAGGGAGUAUUAG
rnacentral:pre_miRNA from 1 species